rnacentral:rRNA from 1 species
GAGUGGCGAACGGGUGAGUAACACGUGGGAAAUCUGCCUAAGAGUGGGGGAUAACAUUCGGAAACGGAUGCUAAUACCGCAUAUAUUUUUGAACCGCAUGGUUCUGGAAAGAAAGACGGCUUUGCUGUCGCUUUUAGAUGAUCCCGCGGCGUAUUAGUUAGUUGGUGGGGUAAAGGCCUACCAAGACCAUGAUACGUAGCCGACCUGAGAGGGUGAUCGGCCACACUGGGACUGAGACACGGCCCAGACUCCUACGGGAGGCAGCAGUAGGGAAUCUUCCACAAUGGGUGCAAACCUGAUGGAGCAAUGCCGCGUGAAUGAAGAAGGUCUUCGGAUCGUAAAGUUCUGUUAUUAGAGAAGAACAAGUCGAGGAGUAACUGUCUCGACUUUGACGGUACCUAACCAGAAAGUCACGGCUAACUACGUGCCAGCAGCCGCGGUAAUACGUAGGUGACAAGCGUUGUCCGGAAUUAUUGGGCGUAAAGGGAGCGCAGGCGGUUGGAAUAGUCUGAUGUGAAAGCCCACGGCUUAACC